rnacentral:rRNA from 1 species
CCUACGGGCGGCAGCAGUAGGGAAUAUUGCUCAAUGGGGGAAACCCUGAAGCAGCAACGCCGCGUGGAGGAUGAAGGUUUUCGGAAUGUAAACUCCUUUUGUUAGAGAAGAAAAUGACGGUAUCUAACGAAUAAGCACCGGCUAACUCCGAGCCAGCAGCCGCGGAAAUACGGAGGGUGCAAGCGUUACUCGGAAUCACGUGGCGUAAAGAGCGCGUAGGCGGGAUAGCAAGUCAGAUGUGAAAACCUAUGGACUAACCAUAGAACUGCAUUUGAAACUGGUAUUCUAGAGUAUGGGAGAGGUAGGUGGAAUUCUUGGUGUAGGGGUUAAAUCCGUAGAGAUCAUGAGGAAUACUCAUUGCGAAGGCGACCUGCUAGAACAUAACUGACGCUGAUGCGCGAAAGCGUGGGGAGCAAACAGGAUUAGAUACCCUAGUAGUC